rnacentral:lncRNA from 1 species
UGUGUAGUCCAGCCAAAAUCAGUUUGUAUAAUUUAUUAUAAUUUUCCAUAUCUUAGUAGCACAAGGGUUUGGCACAUGAAAGUACAUUGUAUCCAUCAUUUCCAUAGCAUUCACCAUUCGCAACAGCACCAUAUGGAACGGUCGCAAUGACUUUUUUCAAAGUUGUAACCACGCCAUUCACAGCUAAGCUUGCACAUAGCAACAUUGUUGGGCGUUGGUAUCUGGCAUGCUCGGAAAGGAGUACACGAAGUCCACAAUCCAGUUGUACCUACAAACAACAAGGUAUAUAUAGCAUCCCCGUUCAUAUUAGCAUAUGUAGUAUAAGUUGCAUGAGUUUAGAUUAUAUGAAUAUCCAAGGUACAUCAUACAUAAUUGGACUAUUGUAAACAUAAACAAAGAGUGUACCUCUGUUUAUCGUAGUUGCUUGACAUGACCAUAAAGUGCUAGACAUCAUCAGAAGAACUACGAAACAUAUAGCCUAUGUGUUGUUCUUGAUAGGUGCCAUGAGGAGUGGUUUCUUAUUCCUUUUUCCUCCUAUACCUGUAUUCUUUAUGGGCGAUAUCUCUCAACCUAUAUUUCUUAUU